UACGUAGGGUGCAAGCGUUAAUCGGAAUUACUGGGCGUAAAGCGUGCGCAGGCGGUUUUGUAAGUUUGUCGUGAAAUCCCCGGGCUCACUCUGGGAAUGGGCGAUGAAGACUGCAAGGCUAGAAUCUGGCAGAGGGGGGUAGAAUUCCACGUGUAGCAGUGAAAUGCGUAGAUAUGUGGAGGAACACCGAUGGCGAAGGCAGCCCCCUGGGUCAAGAUUGACGCUCAUGCACGAAAGCGUGGGGAGCAAACAGG
rnacentral:rRNA from 1 species